AAAAAUAAAUUAAUUAGCAUUUCGUGGAUGCCUAGGUAGGCUGAUAACAAGGACGAUUUAAGCAUCGAAAAUUGCGGUGGAGGUGCAUAAUCCCGUAGACUCGCAAGUUUCCUUAUCUAGCUAGUAAUAAUAAAUUACAGAAGAAAUUCAAUAGCUAAAAAAACUUAGAGAACUGAAACAUCUUAGUAUCUUAAGGAAUAUAAAUCAACCGAGCUACCGUUAGUAGUGGCGAAGGAACGCGGUACAAAAGUUAGAAAUAACAUUAACUUCUAUCUGAAAAGAAUAAGAGACCAGAGAAAGUGAAAGUCUUGUUUGGUUAUUUCUUAGAAUUGUUUAUUAAAGUAAUGCGGAUUUUAGUCUGUGUGAAAUUAGUAGAACCACCUACUAUUAUGAACAAUUUAGCUUAUAUAUCACCUAACCGAUAGUGAACGAGUACUGUGAAGGAAAGGUUAAAAAUAUCACUUAAGGUGAAUUACUGAAACGGAAUGCUUUCAAACACUACAAGCUCUUAUAUUAGAGUGAGUAGGUGCCUUUUGCAUAAUGAGCUAGCGAGUUAAUAGAUGCAAGCAGCUUAAACCGAUAGGUGGAGGCAUACUUAAUAGACUAACAAUUGUUUGUGCUAUUAGACCCGAAGGCAGGCGAGCUAAGCAUGAUCAGGUUGAAAUAUUUCUAACUCAAAUAUGGAAGACCGAACCAGUGUUUGUUGCAAUAAACUUGGAUGAAUUGUGUUUAGGGGUGAAAGGCCAAUCGAGCUUGCCGAUAGCUGGUUCUCUGCGAAAAUUAUUUAGGUAAUGCUUUUGUUAAAGAUACUGCAGGUAGAGCACUUCUAGGUCUAGGGUGGCCCAAAGCCUUACCAAUCCCUAGGAAACUCCCAAUAGCAAAUAUCAUAGACAAAAAGUUAGACAUGCGGCGAAAAGGUUGUAUGUCGAGAGGGAAAAAGCCCAGAUCCGCAGCUAAGGGUUCUAAGUAAAACUAAGUCAUAAAGAAGUGUGUAAAACAAAACUAGUUGUAAGUUGGGCUUAGAGGCAGCCAUACUUUUUAGGAAAGCGUAGUAGCUCAUCUAUUCAGUUUUCACACAUCGAAAAUGUAAGAAAUUCAAGUUUUAAUCCGAAGCUCGGACGAAGAUUUUUAUUAAUACUAAUAUUAAUAUUAAUAUCUUCGGGUAGUAGAGCGUACUCUAAACCGUAGAAGAUAAGUCGAAAGAUUUGUUGGAGGUAUUAGUAAUGAGAAUGCUAGCAUGAGUAGCGUGUAAUUGUGUGUGAAUCGCAAUGGUAGAAUACUCUCGGUUUUUUAGCCAUACUUUUAUAGUAGCUAAAUAUAGUCGGUCCGUAAGGAUGAAUGCGAUAGCUAAAUCCGAUAGGAAGCAAAUUAAAUAUUGUGACCAAGUUUAAUGUGACGGGCUAGAUUCGAUCUCUUUAGUGAAAUAGAACUAGUCACAGGAAAAGCUAAACUUUAAGACCGUACUUAAACCGACUCUGGUGAGUAGAUCGAGCAGAUUAAUACUUAGGGAGAAUUGUACUAAAGGAACUCGGCAAAAUGCACGCGUAACUUAGGGAUAUGCGUGACCAUUUAAUGAUGGUGGCACAAAAUCGAUAUGAGCGACUGUUUACUAAAAACACAGCACGUUGAUAAAUUGAAAUAUGAUCUAUAACGUGUGACACCUGCCCAAUGCUUCAUACCCAAGAGGAUUUGUUUACGCAAGGAAUCGAUAGGUGGAGUAAAUGGCGGUCCUAACUCUAAGGAUCCAAAGGUAGCGAUUACUAGUCAUUUAAUUGGUGACCUGCAUGAAUGGUGUAACGACUCAUAUACUGUCUCUAGUACAAUCCCAGCGAAAUUGAAUUCUUCGUGCAGAUGCGAAGUAGUUAAAGAGGGACGAGAAGACCCUGACCAGCUUUACUGUAAGCGGGUAUUGAAUAACGUUUAAGUUUGUGUAGAAUACGCGGGAGACUUUUGUCAUCAGUGAAAUACCGUGCUCUCUUUUAUGUUAUUCUAAGAACGUAAUAGUUCAAUAGUGCCUGCGUGAUGGUUUUAAUGGGGUGUUAGCAUUUUAAAAGGUAACAAGUGCUUACGAAGGUAAACUCAAACUAGUCGGACAUUAGUUGUAGAGCGCAAAGGUAUAAGUUUGCUUGACUGCAAGAUUGACAGAUCGAGCAGGGAUGAAAAUCGGUCUUAGUGGUCCAGAAACAGUGCGUGGAAAUGUUUCUGCUUAAAGGAUCAAAGUUACGGCAGGGAUAACAGCAUGGUGGGGGCCAAGAGCUCAUAUCUACGCCCCCGUUCGUGACCUCGAUGUUGCUUUGUCCCAUCCUAGAGUUGCAGAAGAUUCUAAGGGUUCGGCUGUUCGCCGAAUAAAGGGGUACAUGAGGUGAGUUUAAAGCGUCGUGAGACAGCUUUGCUUCUAUCUUCUUUAACUGUACUGAAAUUGAAGGGAAGGUAAUGUGUGUACGAGAGGAUUCUAUUGCCCGAAUCUCUGGUUUGCCUGCUGUUCUGUAAUGGGCAAGCAGGUUGGCUAAAUUCGAAUAGUUUAACCACUGAGAGCGUAUCAAGUGGGAAAUCUGUCCUGAAACCAAUUUCUAUUUACUCGCGCAAGAUAAGCGCGUUAAUAGGUAGUAAGUGUACGUAAAGUAAUUUACUUAGCUUAACUAUACUAAAAAAAUAAAUAGUUGUUAUUA
rnacentral:rRNA from 1 species